rnacentral:RNase_P_RNA from 1 species
AGUGCAAGCUGACUUGUCGCUGUCCUGACCCCGACAACAAUCGGGAAGGGAGAGAGGAAAGUCCGGGCAACAAAGAGCGCCAUACUUCCUAACGGGAAGGGGCCUUGCUGGUGACGGCAAGGUUACAGACAGUGCCACAGAAAAUAUACCGUCCGCCGCGGCGGAUAAGGGUGAAAAGGUGGGGUAAGAGCCCACCGCCCCUUCAGUAAUGAAGGGGGCAGGGUAAACCUUAUGGGUUGAAAGAUCAAAUAGGUUCCGCCUUGGGUUUGACUCAAAAAGGGCUGCUCGUCCUUAUGCGGAAUGGGUAGAUCGAUGGAGCCCUGAUGUGAAUCAGGGCCUAGAUAAAUGACAAGUUAGUCUCCCAUUUGGAGAUGAACAGAACCCGGCUUAUAGGCUUGCACUUUUU